AUGGCGCUGGCCACCCCGACAGCCGUGGUGCUGGAGCUGAUGACCAUGGGGCAACAGUCCGCGGCGCACCUCGGGGAGCUGCUCCGAGCGGCGUCCCCGCCCGUGCGGGCCGAGCACCAGGCGCUCGCCGCGGAGAUCAUCCGCUGCUGCGACCGGGUGAUCGCCGCGGUGAGCGCGGGCGCCACCGAUAAAAAGAGGAAGAUGACGGACCCUGGCGCCACAUCCUGCCAUCUUCCCUCAGCCGCCAUGCCGUCCAAAAGAAGGGUGCGUGCUGCGGAGGCGCACAGAGAGGUCCAGGCGCACACGACGGCGGACGGGUUCGUGUGGAGGAAGUACGGGCAAAAGGACAUCAACGGAAGCAACCACCCGAGGCUCUACUACCGCUGCGCGUUCAGAGGCGAGGGCUGCGCCGCGACUCGGCGGGUGCAGCGGUCGCCGGAGGAGCCCGCGGCGUUCGUGAUCGCCUACUACGGCGAGCACACCUGCGGAGCCGGCUUCGGCGACACGUGCCAGCAAGGGGCGGUGCCUCCUACCGUUGUCGACUCCGGCUCAAACGCUCGUGGAACCGUCGGUGCCAUCGACUGGAACAGGGGCUCGCUUCUGCUGCCGUCGCUCCCAGCCGAGCAGGGCGCACGCCAUCACGGCGAGGCGCCUGGUGACACGUCGCGGGGAUGGUUGUCGCCGUCGUCCUCGUCCUACUCGUCGGAGGUGGAACUUGGUGCUUCUCCUGUCGGGGAAUUUCUCGAUGGCAGCUUCGACUGGGAGUGGGAGACCGUUGUCAACUCCCUCCGUUUCGGCGAUCUGCUUCAGUAA
rnacentral:rRNA from 1 species